GGGCCGGUAGUUCAGUCUGGAAGAAUGCCGCCCUGGCGUGGCGGUGGUCCGGGGUUCAAAUCCCCGCCGGUCCACCA
rnacentral:tRNA from 1 species